rnacentral:rRNA from 1 species
CAUUGUUGGAGAGUUUGAUCCUGGCUCAGGACGAACGCUGGCGGCGUGCUUAACACAUGCAAGUCGGACGCUGAAGCAUCUUCGGGUGUGGAUGAGUGGCGAACGGGUGAGUAACACGUGGGUGACCUGCCCUGCACUUUGGGAUAAGCCCUGGAAACGGGGUCUAAUACCGGAUAUGACCGUCUCCUGCAUGGGGGGUGGUGGAAAGCCUUUUGGGGUGGUGUGGGAUGGGCCCGCGGCCUAUC